UACGGAGGGGGCUAGCGUUGUUCGGAAUUACUGGGCGUAAAGCGCACGUAGGCGGCUUUGUAAGUUAGAGGUGAAAUCCCCGGGCUCAACCUGGGAAUGGCAUUGGAAACUGGCGAACUAGAGUGUGGCAGGAGGGGGGUGGAAUUCCGCGUGUAGCAGUGAAAUGCGUAGAGAUGCGGAGGAACACCGAUGGCGAAGGCAGCCCCCCUGGGCUAACACUGACGCUCAUGCACGAAAGCGUGGGGGAGCAAACAGG
rnacentral:rRNA from 1 species